rnacentral:rRNA from 1 species
UUAAUAUUCCUGUACUUGGUGUUACUGCGAAGGGGACGGAGAAGGCUAUGUUGGCCGGGCGACGGUUGUCCCGGUUUAAGCGUGUAGGCUGGUUUUCCAGGCAAAUCCGGAAAAUCAAGGCUGAGGCGUGAUGACGAGGCACUACGGCGCUGAAGCAACAAAUGCCCUGCUUCCAGGAAAAGCCUCUAAGCAUCAGGUAACAUCAAAUCGCCCAAACCGACACAGGUGGUCAGGUAGAGAAUACCAAGGCGCUUGAGAGAACUCGGGUGAAGGAACUAGGCAAAAUGGUGCCGUAACUUCGGGAGAAGGCACGCUGAUAUGUAGGUGAAGCGACUUGCUCGUGGAGCUGAAAUCAGUCGAAGAUACCAGCUGGCUGCAACUGUUUAUUAAAAAACAGCACUGUGCAAACACGAAAGUGGACGUAUACGGUGUGACGCCUGCCCGGUGCCGGAAGGUUAAUUGAUGGGGUUAGCGCAAGCGAAGCUCUUGAUCGAAGCCCCGGUAAACGGCGGCCGUAACGAUAACUGUCCUAAGGUAGCGAAAUUCCUUGUCGGGUAAGUUCCGACCUGCACGAAUGGCGUAAUGAUGGCCAGGCUGUCUCCACCGAGACUCAGUGAAAUUGAACUCGCUGUGAAGAUGCAGUGUACCCGCGGCAAGACGGAAAGACCCGUGAACCUUUACUAUAGCUUGACACUGAACAUUGAGCCUUGAUGUGUAGGAUAGGUGGGAGGCUUUGAAGUGUGGACGCCAGUCUGCAUGGAGCCGACCUUGAAAUACCACCCUUUAAUGUUUGAUGUUCUAACGUUGACCCGUAAUCCGGGUUGCGGACAGUGUCUGGUGGGUAGUUUGACUGGGGCGGUCUCCUCCUAAAGAGUAACGGAGGAGCACGAAGGUUGGCUAAUCCUGGUCGGACAUCAGGAGGUUAGUGCAAUGGCAUAAGCCAGCUUGACUGCGAGCGUGACGGCGCGAGCAGGUGCGCAGGUCAUAGUGAUCCGGUGGUUCUGAAUGGAAGGGCCAUCGCUCAACGGAUAAAAGGUACUCCGGGGAUAACAGGCUGAUACCGCCCAAGAGUUCAUAUCGACGGCGGUGUUUGGCACCUCGAUGUCGGCUCAUCACAUCCUGGGGCUGAAGUAGGUCCCAAGGGUAUGGCUGUUCGCCAUUUAAAGUGGUACGCGAGCUGGGUUUAGAACGUCGUGAGACAGUUCGGUCCCUAUCUGCCGUGGGCGCUGGAGAACUGAGGGGCUGCUCCUAGUACGAGAGACCGGAGUGGACGCAUCACUGGUGUUCGGGUUGUCAUGCCAAUGGCACUGCCCGGUAGCUAAAUGCGGAAGAGAUAAGUGCUGAAAGCAUCUAAGCACGAAACUUGCCCCGAGAUGAGUUCUCCCUGACUCCUUGAGAGUCCUGAAGGAACGUUGAAGACGACGACGUUGAUAGGCCGGGUGUGUAAGCGCAGCGAUGCGUUGAGCUAACCGGUACUAAUGAACCGUGAGGCUUAACCUC